ensembl:lncRNA
CUCUGGUACGACACUCUCGUAUCGGACUCUGGUACGACACUCUCGUAUCGGACACUGGUACGGAAUGAGAUCCGAGAUUAGAUUUUCUAAUGAGUAUGCAGGCGUCAGUAUAGUAGACAUGUUCAGGAACAACGUGUUGUCAGAGAUCCCCGUGUGAGACUGCUGUGUGUGUGUGUGUGUGUGUGUGUGUGUGUGUGUUAAUGGAGGUAUGUGUAGGCAUACCCUCCGGCUGCAGCUCCAGAUGCCUGACACGUUUCUUUGAUCCAGUCUCAAGUUGCUUUCCUAUGUCUAGGAAAUAAUCGACAUGCUAAGACGACGAACGUGGGGGCAGGAUGCGACUAUAAGCAUGCCGUUUACCACGGUUCCCAAAGACGCAGCGGCUCAAGUUAUGCGAAAUAUAGAAACUACAUUUUCACAGGUUUCAACACACACACACACUCAUCUGCGCUCAUAAUGACAGACAGUGAGUAUCAGGUUCUCUCGAUUCAGACAGGUCGGGCCAAGUAAACAAUAAGGGAGUGAUGAAGAGUUCAAACUCGAGCCAUUAAACACAGCUGACCUCACGGCUCAUGUUCAAAGAGCUUUCGAUAGAAAAGAUUUCUCUCUGCAGCUGGGGCUAUUAAAAAUACGAUAUUCGGUAUAAAACCUGAGCCGAGAAAGCUAAAUAUUCCGUCAAGGAUUUAUAGUAGUGGUAGAACGCGCUAGCUUCUGCAGGCUGCUCGGGCGAAUAUCGCUGGAACGCAAACACUGGUCACGUGGGUGGUCGAGGCUUGGAAUUAAAGAUUUGUUGUUGGGUUUUUUUUUUUCCCCUUUCAGUCUCAUGUGGAAGACACUGCUUAUUGGAAGUCUUGAAACUUGCACCGUCUUUCAUUGGAGAACGAAGACGUUGCUCACGGGAUUUAUUACACUUUUGCUCAAUAUAUCCACAUAUUAUAAAGAUAGUGUAGUAUCAGACAGUGCAGUGUGUAUAUAUACACACACACACACACACACACACACUCCGGUUGUGAACGUUUCUGGACUGGAGGUCAUUUUCUCACCCGCCGCUCUGCUCUCUGUUUCAACGAGCAACGGAUACUGGAACAAAGCCAAGCGCCUUAUAAGGCUGUUCCUUCCUCCGCGAGUGCUGUAUUAAUGCCAGGCGCAUUUCAAAACGCUGAACGGGUGCCAAAGGAAAGCAGGAAAUCUGUCCCUUAUCUCCCGGCGUCAACUUCAUAUUAUCAGCAAAGCAUGUCCAAGCUGGCUGUAUGCGUGUCCAUGUCACACAUCCCAGUGAGUUAGGACCUGCUUUCGAACGUACGAGGUCGGAUCUGAAUAGAAAGAUCACCAAGAAAGCCAGGGAACGUAGUAGUAGUGAUAUUUAUAGAUUCUCUCUCUAGUUUUGAACUUUAGAUCCACAAACACAACUUUUGCUUAUUCACCUUCAAACGACGGAACAAGGUCCCUGCUUGGACAGUGUACAUUUUCUUGAACCAUACACUGUGCAAGGUCCUUCUCUCUAUUUUCUCUCGCGCUCACGCAUGGGAAGUCACCGGCGAUCCUGACUCAUUCUGCUCGCUGGACCUUCUUGAUGGUUGGAGUUGGAGAUGGCUCCAGGUGCACAGCCUGAAGGUCACCACGAGACCACAGAAACCAUAACGAUGGCUGUGGAUCUUCUUCCUCGGACAGUCUCAGGACCGCAAUUGCUGAGAAAGGUUUCGCGCUCAAGUCUCCAUCACUGCACAGUUAAGAACGUCAACACAACAGAUCGUACGUAGUACAAAGUUUUGGAAUGGGGGGAAGAAAAAAAAAGAGAAAGAGAUUUAUAAAUCGCACUAUCCGAUGUCACCUAAAUAAGGACGGGGUUCCUGUCAGUGUUUCCUCGUCACGGUCACCUCUGGCUUCCUCGUUGAGGAUCCGUUUAUAAAUUUUAAAAACCGAUAUCUGGAAUCGGUGGAUAUUUCUGCGACGCCGCUUUGUGAGUGACAACGUCCAAGCGGUAUACGAUCGAAUAAAAUCGAACGGGUCGGAAUAAACGCACGAAUCGAAUCGUUUGCCGUGCGUUUCGGGCAUCGUCGACACGAUCCGUGGAGACCGAAGUAGACAGAUGGAACCGAUUUAGUUCAAGGCAAGACAAGGAGUCUUUCUUUCCAGACGAAGACAAAAAGUUGAGCCUUUGUGAACUCUAUUUAGCGUUCUAACCCCAACCCUGACAAUUGUGCACCACAUGGGCAGACCCACUGGGAAACCCACCCUCCAGCCACACGACUGAUAAUCGCUUGCACAUUCUGCUCUGAAAGCCACAUUCAUCACUGUCCUCUUUGCAGUCCGUGGACACCGGAGACAUCUAUCCACGUGUGAUGUGUAUACACACUUCGAAGCAUAAAAAAGGUUCUAAUGUAAUCCAUAGGAACUGCCGUACUGUCCACAAGAACGUACCAGGCCGCUCUUGCUUUUUUUACUGCGCAUUCCUCACGUACAUCUGAAUAAAUCUCAGCAGCUCAUAACAAACGCCACGUUUUGUUCUCGUAUCAUCCUUGUGAGGACCUUAACAAUUAUUACUAUAGCAAUUAAUGUCAAACCCUGUCUCUUUAAAAAUAUAUAUAUAUAUAUAUAUA